GAUGAACGCUGGCGGCGUGCCUAAUACAUGCAAGUCGAGCGAACAGAUGAGGAGCUUGCUCCUUUGACGUUAGCGGCGGACGGGUGAGUAACACGUGGGUAACCUACCUAUAAGACUGGAAUAACUCCGGGAAACCGGAGCUAAUGCCGGAUAACAUUUAGAACCGCAUGGUUCUAUAGUGAAAGAUGGUUUUGCUAUCACUUAUAGAUGGACCCGCGCCGUAUUAGCUAGUUGGUAAGGUAACGGCUUACCAAGGCAACGAUACGUAGCCGACCUGAGAGGGUGAUCGGCCACACUGGAACUGAGACACGGUCCAGACUCCUACGGGAGGCAGCAGUAGGGAAUCUUCCGCAAUGGGCGAAAGCCUGACGGAGCAACGCCGCGUGAGUGAUGAAGGUCUUCGGAUCGUAAAACUCUGUUAUUAGGGAAGAACAAAUGUGUAAGUAACUGUGCACGUCUUGACGGUACCUAAUCAGAAAGCCACGGCUAACUACGUG
rnacentral:rRNA from 1 species